rnacentral:lncRNA from 1 species
GCAGUGACACUGAGCGGGCGCAGGGGGCCGAGUCGGAGACCGUGCCGGAGUUCGGGAGCGGCAACAGAGUGGGCAUAGACACUCCGAGCAGCCUCGCCGUCGUCUCUGCGUUCCUGUUGACUGCCUGGCUGCCCCCUCCCCUACUCCUCGGUUCCUGGUGAAGAGGCUGCGCGCUGCUGUUUGGGGAGGGGGUGUGUGGAGCCGGGUCCUGUGUCCGCAGUGGCUGCUGUCGGGGGGUCGCCUGUUCGCGGAGGUGCGGAGAGACUCCUUGGGGGUCGAGCACAUAACGGGGUUCGGGUGUCUCGUGUGUGAACAUCACAGGGUUUGUGGAUGCACUUAGAUGUUUGCAAUGAGCACUGUGGCUGGCAUGCCCCAGUGUUUUGGAUACCAAUGCAUAGGACUCCAUAGUAAUCGAAUUUACCAGAGGCGAACGUCAUGAGCAUAGUGAUCCCAUUGGGGGUUGAUACAGCAGAGACGUCAUACUUGGAAAUGGCUGCAGACCAGAAUCCGUAGAAGCUAGCCCUGUGGUAGUUGAGAAAUCCAACAGUUAUCCCCACCAGUUAUAUACCAGCAGCUCACAUCAUUCACACAGUUACAUUGGUUUGCCCUAUGCGGACCAUAAUUAUGGUGCUCGUCCUCCUCCGACACCUCCGGCUUCCCCUCCUCCAUCAGUCCUUAUUAGCAAAAAUGAAGUAGGCAUAUUUACCACUCCUAAUUUUGAUGAAACUUCCAGUGCUACUACAAUCAGCACAUCUGAGGAUGGAAGUUAUGGUACUGAUGUAACCAGGUGCAUAUGUGGUUUUACACAUGAUGAUGGAUACAUGAUCUGUUGUGACAAAUGCAGCGUUUGGCAACAUAUUGACUGCAUGGGGAUUGAUAGGCAGCAUAUUCCUGAUACAUAUCUAUGUGAACGUUGUCAGCCUAGGAAUUUGGAUAAAGAGAGGGCAGUGCUACUACAACGCCGGAAAAGGGAAAAUAUGUCAGAUGGUGAUACCAGUGCAACUGAGAGUGGUGAUGAGGUUCCUGUGGAAUUAUAUACUGCAUUUCAGCAUACUCCAACAUCAAUUACUUUAACUGCUUCAAGAGUUUCCAAA